UUCCGGUGCCGACAGAGAUGGCCGCCUCGCUUUGCGUUCCUAGGAAACUAUGCAUUAUUUUGCCCUAACCCAUUAUUUUUACGUGUUAUUUCUUACAUUGGUACCCCAGGUAAUCUUAGGUUUCAUUACAGACAGUCGGGAAGAACUACUGAAUAUAAGAGCAACGUCAACUCACCAUCAGUACGACCAGGAAUAUGACUUUCCCGAAGCGGAUCCUGUGUUUUGCCUUCCACCCAGGACAACGGAAUGGAUCCCAGCCUGCGACCCAAAACAACGAUGUCGUAAAAGAGGCAAACGAAGCGGUCUUCUGGUCAGGCUCCAGAGAUGGGCACAUCGCGCACCACUCCCUAGCAUUCUACUCGCCAAUGUCCAGUCUAUUGACAACAAGGUUGAUGAAUUCCGAGCAAGGGUAGCAUUCCAGAGAGACAUCAGAGACUGUAACGUUCUUUGCUUCACGGAAACAUGGCUCACUCGAGAGACGCUAACGGAAUCGGUGCAGCCAGCUGGUUUCUUUCACGCAUCGCGCGGACAGAAACAAACGUAUUUCUGGUAAGAAGAGGGGCGGGGUCGUAUACCUUAUGAUUAAUCAGACGUGGUGUGAUCACAACAACAUACAGGAACUCAAGUCAUUCUGUUCACCUGACUUAGAAUUCCUCACAAUCAAAUGUCGACCGCAUUAUCUUCCAAGGGAAUUCUCUUCGAUUAUAAUCACAGCCGUAUAUAUUCCCCCAAGCAGACACAUCGAUGGCCCUGAACGAACUUUAUUUGACUCUUUGCAAACUGGAAACCACAUAUCCUGAGGCUGCAUUCAUUGUAGCUGGGGAUUUUAAUAGGGCUAAUCUGAAAACAAGACUCCCUAAAUUGUAUCAGCAUAUCGAUUGCGCAACCAGGGCUGGUAAAACCUUGGAUCAUUGUUAUUCUAACUUCCGCGACGCAUAUAAGCCCCCCCCCCUCCCCCGCAACCAAAACCUGUGGACUCUCCUUCACUGCAGCCGACGUGAGUAAAACAUUUAAACGUGUUAACCCUCGCUGGGCUGCAGGCCCAGACGGCAUCCCCAGCUGCGUCCUCAGAACAUGCGCAGACCAGCUGUUUACGGACAUAUUCAAUAUAUACUUAUCCCAGUCUGCUGUUCCCACAUGCUUCAAGAGGGCCACCAUUGUCCCUGUUCCCAAGAAAGCUAAGGUAACUGAGCUAAACGACUACCGCCCUGUAGCACUCACUUCCCUCAUCAUGAAGUGCUUUGAGAGACUAGUCAAGGACCAUAUCACCUCCACCCUACCUGACACCCUAGACCCACUCCAAUUUGACUACCGCCCAAAUAGGUCCACAGACGAUGCAAUCUCAACCACACUGCACACUGCCCUAACCCAUCUGGACAAGAGGAAUACCUAUGUGAGAAUGCUGUUCAUCGACUACAGCUCAGCAUUUAACACCAUAGUACCCUCUAAACUCGUCAUCAAGCUCGAGACCCUGGGUCUCAACCCUGCCCUGUGCUACUGGGUACUGGACUUCCUGAAGGGCCGCCACCAGCUGGUGAGGGUAGGUAACAACAUCUCCGGCCGACAGGGAGGAGGUUUUGGGCCCUCAGAGUGUGGUGUCAGGAAAAUAACCUCACACUCAAAGUCAACAAAACAAAGGAGAUGAUUGUGGACUUCAGGAAACAGCAGAGGGAGCACCCCCCUAUCCACAUCGAUGGGACAGUAGUGGAGAGGGUAGUAAGUUUUAAGUUCCUCGGUGUACACAUCACGGACAAACUGAAUUGGUCCACCCACACAGACAGCGUCGUGAAGAAGGCGCAGCAGCGCCUCUUCAACCUCAGGAGGCUGAAGAAAUUUGGCUUGUCACCAAAAGCAUUCACAGACUUCUACAGAUGCACAAUCGAGAGCAUCCUGUCGGGCUGUAUCACCGCCUGGUACGGCAAUUGCUCCACCCACAACCGUAAGGCUCUCCAGAGGGGUCUGCACAACGCAUCACCGGGGGCAUACUACCUGCCCUCCAGGACACCUACACCACCCAAUGUCACAGGAAGGCCAUAAAGAUCAUCAAGGACAACAACCACCCGAGCCACUGCCUGUUCACCCCGCUAUCAUCCAGAAGGUGUGAAGAAUGUAUUUUGCUGGAGUGUGGUCCAGGGUAACCUGACCCGAACAGGCCAGUCAUGACAUUACCUACCCUCGCCACCUGGAGGUGGCCCAUCAAGUCCCGGAUCCAGUUGCAGAAGGAGUUGUUCAGUCCCGGGUCCUGAGCUUGGUGAUGAGCUUGGAGGGGACUAUGGUGUUGAACGCUGAGCUGUAGCCAAUGAACAGCAUUCUCACAUAGGUAUUCCUCUUGUCCAGGUGAGAAAGAACGUUGGGGAGUGCAGUAGCGAUUGCAGUGUUUGUGGAUCUGUUGGGGCGGUAUGCGAAUUGGAGUGGGUCCAGGGUGUUUGGGAUGAUAGUGUUGAUGUGAGCCAUGGCCAGCCUUUCAAAGCAUUUCAUGGUUACAGAUGUGAAUGUUAUGGGACGAUAGUCAUUUAGGCAGGUAACCUUUGAGUUCCUAGGAACAGGGACAAUGGUGGUCUGCUUCAUCCAGAGAUAAAGCUGGGGCCUCUGGAUCCAAAGACGCUUCUUACUGAAGCACGCUCGCUCGCUUGAUAUCAUUAGUGUGAUCUCUUUGCAUGAAAUCUAGAUGAAGAAUUUAUUUUGGAUAAUUGAUGAGUCAAGUGAUUUGGAUUCUGUGUAUUUAAACCCUCUUGUGUUUCUGUUCUAAGCGGCCACCCACAGGAAGUGAAUGCAGUCCAUAGCAUGGUGGAUCCCAGGUUUUGCUAGUACAUGUAGGGCUUUCGUUUGGUCAGUGCAUGGCUAAUGGAGGUAGUUUUAGUGAGAUGAAAUGGGAUGAUUUUGAGUCUUGCGAUGAUUUUGAGUAGCAUGGUUUUAUAGUUAAAAUAAAUUAUAUUUAUGGAAACAAUGCAAUUGAAUGGAAAUGAGAAACUGGAAUGUGUUUGAAAUGUAAAUAUAGAAAACCAUGCCUUAAAAUUUUUAAAAAUGGUC